CCCUUAGAUGUUCUGGGCCGCACGCGCGCUACACUGAUGCAUUCAACAAGCCUAGCCUUGACCGAGAGGUCCGGGUAAUCUUUGAAACUGCAUCGUGAUGGGGCUAGAUUAUUGCAAUUAUUAAUCUUCAACGAGGAAUGCCUAGUAAGCGUGAUUCAUCAAAUCGCGUUGAUUACGUCCCUGCCCUUUGUACACACCGCCCGUCGCUCCUACCGAUUGAAUGUGUUGGUGAGGAGCUCGGAUUGGCAGCAGUUAGUGGUUCGCCACCGGCUAUUGCUGAGAAGUCCUCCAAACCGCCCCAUUUAGAGGAAGGAGAAGUCGUAACA
rnacentral:rRNA from 1 species